AGUGAACGCUGGCGGUAGGCCUAACACAUGCAAGUCGAACGGCAGCACAGUAAGAGCUUGCUCUUACGGGUGGCGAGUGGCGGACGGGUGAGGAAUACAUCUGAAUCUACUUUUUCGUGGGGGAUAACGUAGGGAAACUUACGCUAAUACCGCAUACGACCUACGGGUGAAAGCAGGGGAUCUUCGGACCUUGCGCGAUUGAAUGAGCCGAUGUCGGAUUAGCUAGUUGGCGGGGUAAAGGCCCACCAAGGCGACGAUCCGUAGCUGGUCUGAGAGGAUGAUCAGCCACACUGGAACUGAGACACGGUCCAGACUCCUACGGGAGGCAGCAGAGGGGAAUAUUGGACAAUGGGCGCAAGCCUGAUCCAGCCAUACCGCGUGGGUGAAGAAGGCCUUCGGGUUGUAAAGCCCUUUUGUUGGGAAAGAAAAGCAGCAGGUUAAUACCCCGCUGUUCUGACGGUACCCAAAGAAUAAGCACCGGCUAACUUCGUG
rnacentral:rRNA from 1 species